rfam:Schistosoma mansoni strain Puerto Rico chromosome 6, complete genome
AUCCGGCUGAAGAGUCCCAUAUAAGACAAAACGCUCGUCCUCGAU